CUCAUUUUUAACAUUCAGGCUGUGGGUCCUGAACAUAUUGCCCAAGGGCAAUAACAAGCCCUGCGACUGGAAAAGGGAAAAGCAGGUCAUCAACUAUUAUCUCACUGAACGUGGGGAGCACACAGGUGUUAGCGUCUCGAAUUUUCAAGAAAUGGAUGCUCGUAAAAGAACACUUAUCCAGAGAGGCAGACGGUUCAGUCAUACUUUACUCUUUUCUGGGAAAAAAAUGUAUACAUUAAGGCUGCUAAACAAAUAAUUGAAAGUAAAGCAAGGAGGGUUUCUCAGGAAUCAACGCUGCAGAGAGCUCACACAGCAAAAAGAACAGGAAAGCGACUGACUGCUAGCUUUCCUUAAUGUAGCACCAAACGGCAAGUCAGUGGAACCCUGUGAUCCUAACCGGUUACGGUCUUCAGUGUGCGUGUGGGAUCCACCUAGAGAGCCUGGUGAAGGGGUAGAUCCCCCCACGCCCCGCCCCACGUUCCGAGUUAGCAGGUUCAAAGUAAGGACUGGGAAUCCCCACUUUUAAUAAGCUCCCCUGCUGAUUUUGAUACAGGUAGUUCUUGGAAGGCAGUCUGACAAACACUCUAAAAGGAUGAAAUAGAACCAAAAUAAGCAAUAAUUUGGCUUUGAAGAAAAAAAAAAAAAAAAAAAAACAGAGGAAGAAAUUCAAAUCGUAAUACAAAAGCAGUCAUUUCCCCCUAGGAUGAGGCGAGAUGACAAGGCUCUUUGAACAUCCUUAAUAUUUACUCACUUGGUGAAUGAAUGAGUAAAUACCCUCAUAGUUAAGUAAUGGUCCCCUUUUAUUGAGUACUUACGUGACUCUCAAUAACUCUGUGAAACAGAAAGAGAAAGAAACAAAGAUGAAACAACCUGCUCCACUGUCACACAAGCAAAACAUUUCAAAGCUAAGUCUACCCUACACCACAGUCCCACCUCCUAACCAUGACGAAGAAUCAAAGACUAAUGAUUUGAGGGCAGUUUUCCUAAGAGGGGAGAGCAUAGCUCCUUCUGUCCUGGAGAACCCAGACCCAAUAAUGGCUCUUUUCACCCUUUAUCUUAAUCAGAAAAAUGCUUCUCACAGGACAGAUGAAGGUAAGUUUUUAACCUUCUGGAUCCUGUAAGGCCCUAAAAACACACUGGGAGGGGUCAUGUGGCCCAUGAACCCCUGGUUGCAUUUUCAAGCCACAGAAAAGAAGAGCAACCGCUGAUGACCAAACAAGUUCACACCAGCACAGUCUGGUGACGGUACCAUGGAAUCCCCGAACUCGACGGUAAGCUCACAGACCCUCGAAGUCCAGACAGAUGCGAGUGGAUCUCUCCCUCUCCCCUCUCGCUGUCUCUGCACAUGCUCUGCUCUGUGCAGGAAAGUACUCCCGGCCGCUCCGGACCAAGUGCAACUCAUCCUCCAGGUUGUAGGACAUUUCUUCUUUUAGGAAGACGUGCGUCAUUCUCAAAGGCUGUGCUGGGUUACGCUACUAGAGUCCCCCAUACUUUGGGGGCACUUAACUGUUUCCUUCAAGAUUCCGUCCCUCCCCCACUAGCCUAUGAGCACCAUGGGGUUGGGAGUACUACGCAUGGCUGUUUUAUGGGUGGGCACAGGCCUGAGCAUGCAUACCGGGCUCCCUGAAGUGGUACAAAGGGCCUGAAAGCAAAGACCAUGACUUGAUUUCUUCUGAAAGCUCAGACCAAUGCAGACCAUUAAAAGAUGCAUCAAAAAAUAAACAAGCAAACCACCCCGCCGCCCAAUAUCUCUUGGUUCCAAGUAUUUCCAUGGAGCCUCAGUGACCAUUCACUUCUCUCCCAACACUGAUUCCAUACUCAACCAAGGCAAGAUCCACACUGAUGUUGCAAAUAAGAGUACAACUCUUACGGGAUGAGAAAGAACUCAAAAAAAUAUACUCCCCCCAAUGCAAUAUGCUCAGGAAAUUGAGAUCAUUUCUGCUUAUAACUCCAAUUUAUAUUAAAAAGUAUAAUGACCCUCUUUAGUGAAAACAUAUUUUCAAACUUGGAACAUCAUUGAAAUUCAAUUGUGUCUGUCAAGGGGGUUGGGAUAGAUUAACUGCUAUAGAACUUUCAAUGAUGUUUAAGAUCCGUGCUUAAAAAAUGUUCUCAGUAACAAAACUCUAAGAACUUCUUCAGAGCUAAAAUGCAAUCUCUUUUUAGGGGUGAAUGUUAAUUAUGAGCAGUGAGAAAUUGAUGUCAGUGACUCUCUUUUUCUGAACAUCCUUCACUAAGUGAAGAAGACAGGAGGGAUCCGCAAACGUGCAGCUGUGAUCUAUGCAGCUGGCAUGACUUACAUGUUUUAAUCAUGCCUCGGUUUCUAGAAGAAAUGCCAUUUUACCUUCCCAGACUAAGAGCAAAACAGCCAAGAAAUAAUACCUGCCACUUCUGUUGAUCUUGUUGGCUGUUGUUAUAGCUUCACAGCACAUGUUAAAGUAAAUGAAUGCGGUUUUGUUUUGUUUUUUCUCCUAAAUGCUACUUGUUAUUUGGAAUACUCUUCUGAAUUCUUUUCAUGUCACGGCCCCAAAUCAGAAAUUCGUCCCUCCUCCCCCAUGUCUGAAUUCUUAAACCUGGAAAUCCAAAGUAAAAUACAGGUAAGUAUGUUGUGUAAAAUAUUAAGAUAUUGCUAAGAAACCGUGCUACACAAUUUCGCAAUGGUCUAAUGGAUGUUAACUAAUUGAGACACAUCACAUAGAGUCAGGCUUGAUUCAAUUAGUUCAAAUAAUUGCAAUUCUUGUUAUUUCUGAAAUUAUCUUCUGCUACAGAUGGGAACAUUUUUAAAUGGGUAGCCAUCUAUCCUUUUAUUCCAUAAGGGUUCACUAUAGUCCUCGCAAUAAGUUUAAUGUAACUGUCUUUAAAGGGUAAUUUCAUCUAUAUUCUGCUGUCUUUUCAUUUGCACCAUUAUUUUAAUUAGCAGGUCAUUCAUCAUUUUACUAGAGCUUUUUUUUUUUUUUGUAUUUGAGGGAGCUACUGUCACCUUCAUAGUAUAUGUAUUUAGAAUUUAAAAAUAAUUCGCACCAUUCCAAUUACAUACUUUGGAUACUUUUCUAUUUCUUCCAAUAUCCAACUUUGCUAUUGUCUUUGCAAAGGCAGAAAAGAAAGUAGCAUAUUCUAUGAUUAGUGUGUUACCUUAAUAAUUUUUUUUUUUUUUUUUUGGUCUUUUUAGGGCCACAUCCAUGGCAUAUGGAGGUUUCCAGGCUAGAGGUUGAAAUUGGAGCUGCAGCUGCCGGCCUACGUCACGGCAAUGCCAGAUCCUAGCCACAUCUGUGACCUACACCACCGCUCAUCACAAUGCUGGAUCCUUAACCCACUGAGCAAGGCCAGGGAUCAAACCUGUGUCCUCAUGGAUGCUAGCCAGAUUCGUUUCCCCUGAGCCACGAUGGGAACUCCAGACCUUAACAGUUUAAGUGUAAGCAAUCUUUGCCCAAGUCUUCCAUGCUUCAAUAUAGGAGCAAUAUAUCCUAUUACUUUACCACGAAUGAGCCCUGAGAGACAGGCAAAGAGGGAAGAGCUGCUGGGCCCAGUACAGAGAAAAGGGGUAGAUACUCCAUACUUCACCCCUCCCCCAACAGCUCCCAAAUGGUGAGGCCUCUCAGAUCAUCUAAAAAUGAUAAUCCAUUUAACUAUCCAUUUUCAGCAUCUAUGAUAAUAACCUCUACAAACAUCAUUCAGCGAGACCUCAUGUUUCAAGUGCAAUUCUAAGUAACUCUGGUACAUCUGCUCCUCUUCUAACAAUCCCACUAAGCCAAUGGCUUUAUUCCUAUUUUACAGAUGAAGAAACUGAGACUUAGGGAAGUUCAGUAACUGAAAUGGGAACAGCACUUAGAUGGUGUGACUCCAACACCUGAAUCUCAGCAGUAUUUCUGCCUUCAGGGCUAAACUCACCCACAGCUCUCAGAAUUCUAAUGAGCUGAAGGCACUCUUUUAAAUUCCUACUGAGGCAGAGUCUUUCAUGCAGAAUUGAUUUUUAUAAACCCUCAUUCACGCAUGCACAGAACCAGUGCUGAGAUCACCUGGCGUACUACUCGAUUUCUCAUUAACAAACAACUCCAUACAUCAGAAACCCUAUUUUAUGAGUCCCAAAGCGGGGGGAGGGAAACACAUGUCAUCUAUGAGGAAACUCAGGCCUUCCUGGGACGGCCUGUAUCUUGCCCAACCAGGUUUCUUAAUUACCUCCGAGUGGAACACGAAUCCCUCCAGCCCUCAAUUCCCCGCUGUCCCAGGCACUCUGAAGCCUUUCUCCCACCUCCCACCCUUUCUCCCAAUAGAGAGCUCCCCACGCUUACAUAGUUCUAGUUUGCUAACUUCCAAUGCUGUGCACUUCAGAAAUAGGGACGCUGUCUGGAGAGUGGCAACAGAAAAAUAUUCAUCAAGCUGGGCUUCCUUAUUCUUACCUGUCAAAAGAGGGGGAAAUGGAGGCAGGCAGGGAGAAAAGUCAGCUCAAAGUAUCUGCUGAACUUUGGAGAGUUUACAAGGGGUGAGGGGAUGUUCGCAGAGCUCGAGACCUGGGGUGGGGGUGGGGGUGGGGAGGAGAUUGGAAAGGUUAGCCUGUUGACCUGCUAGAGGGAAGCAGAAGUUCUAGAAGGUAAAGGAAGGAGUGAGUUGUGUUCCAACAGAAAACUGUGCAAAAACAGCACAGAGCAGUCUUGUAUACCCUCUGAAAAACGACUCCGACACAAUUUCACAAAUGAAAGGGUGUGUUGGUACCGUGGGUGUUUUCAGCUGUGAUGGGCACAGCUGAUCCUGGUAAAGUGCGCAGAGGCCUGCCUUGGCCUUUAGGGGAAAAAAAACUUCUAAAAGCUGAGUUAUGGUUUUGGAUUCCAAACCAAUUCUGUGUUAAUAGAGAAGCUGAAAAUCUAUCUACCAACAAACGUAAAACGUUAUUAGUAAUAUUAAUAAUGUCUUCCUUCCUCUGUGCAGUUUCAUUAGAAGACACCCUCAGGCCCAUCCAAACCUACAAGAAAUGCUCCAUACAGCUGCUCCACUGUGGGUGCAAGUAUGUAACUUCGGGUUUCACAACCCUUAAAGGACACAAUCUCAUUUGUUUGCUCACGUUGCUCUCUUGCUAAAAUUUACCCUGAUUAGAAAACAAUAAGCAAUAACAUUAUUAUUAUAUAUUAAAUUAUUACUGUUAUAAUAAAUGACGUCAUUAUUUAUAGUUUUAAAUUUGUCAAAUGUGUUUGCCCUGGAGAUUUGUAGUCUUAGGUUUUUCUUCUUACCAACUAGGAAAAGCGGGGUUAAAACUCAAGUCCAAAAAAGGUCCACUUUCAUAGAGUGCCUGGCCUGUGAGUGUUUAGGACAAUGCCGCAAAAGCAAUUUUUAUUUUUAGAUCUGUAAGUAAAAAUGGCUAUUAUGAAUGAGAGCUUGGAGAAUGGAGAAACAGUCAAAAUUCCAUUAAAAAAGGAAAACCAGCCAAUUGCUCUGAGGCCGACAGACAAUGAGGCACCAAAGGCCAUUGGUCCCCGGGCUGCUUUUCCCUCAGCAGGUGCCACCCUGUCUCCACUUCUCUCUUACCAUGUCUCCUCCUUGAAUCCUGUCUCACUCUCCCCCCCUGUUUCUCCUUCUCUCUGGAUCCAUGACACUCUUUUCCUUCUUCUUUAAUUCUCCUUUGUCACUCUCGACUCCUUUCCUUUGCCCGGUUCCCUCUAAGUGGCUUAAAUAAAACUGAGAGCUUUGGGGUUCUUUAACAACAAUGGUUGUGUUCAUUAGAAACGCAUUAUAAUCUCUAUAUUAUGUUAAAGACAAAUUAAAUAGCCUAUAUUUCCCUAAGAACAAAAAGAGAGAGAGAGAGAGAGAGAAUGAGAGGGAGAGAAAACUGAAUUUACCAGUAUGUAGCCUUAAAUUUCUUUGGGGGUCAUCAAAAGAAAAAAUUCCCCACCAUGUCCCACCUCAUUAAAAAUAUGCUGCACCUCUAGGCUGCUGGUAAAAGUAAUCACCAUUGACUUUUUCCCCACACAUACGCAUCUCACAAAACAUAUCCUCCUAUCAUAAGUACUUAUACGGGUAGCUUUUCAUGUGCACUGAGUUAAGUACUGUGGGAUGUUAUGAGGGAAUGGCAGUUAUAAACCAUCAACAGCAUAGCCAAAUUACCUGGAAAAGGAAACCAACCAGCUUUUCUGUUUAUCUCUAAGCUAAUAAUGCACAUCAAUCUACCAAACAGUAUCUGCCUCCUAGAGUUUCCGGGUUUCAACGUGAGGUCCUUGAGGGCAAUUCUGGUAUCAGAGCGAAGUCCUCAGAGUAAUAUUUAAAAUCAUCCUAUUCAGUGAACAAACAAUCUGUAUCUUCAUAUUAUGGUUUAAUGCUAUGAGGCUAAUUCAUACUACAAGUGAUCCAAAGCCUAUUCCUAUUAGAGUCAACAAUCCUUUUCUUAUGAUAAUACCAUAAUUUUUCGGCUUAAUGAAUCAUGAUGUUUUUCUGAAAAUGUUCAAUUCAAAACAAACACGGGAUCUGUCGUGCUAAGAGACUAUGGAGGUUUAAGUUUUUUAAAUCAUUUUGUUUUGCUUUUUAAUUUUUGGAAGCUACGUCCUCCGUUUCCUCUGUAUGUAUUCGAGUUUGAAGGAAAAGUUCCUGCCUCAGUUCAGAGUUUUGAUCUUCUUGGCUAUGAUGUCUUCCUUGGCCCACACUCUAAUGAGACGAAGUCUCCACGCAGGCUGUCAAUCAUCUACAUCAAAUGCUGAGCGUGAGGAGAAAGUGACUUUUUAUUACAGAACUCCUAGCUCCUCUUUGGGGAGAAAAAGGGGGAACUGCGGUGCACAACUUCUUUCAGUGUUUCUUCUUUCGCACACGGUUGAGUACUUAGGACAUACUCAAAGGAACUUUUAUCAUCGUAAUAAUUAAAUCAGCAAAGAAACUCCCUGCCCCCCACUUUCUUCCCUUUCUUUGGGGAUAUGUAAGAAAUGUCCACUCCAGAAAUGAAACUGACCAAUCUCAAUACCGAGAAAGUUUUAUGUACAAGCUAAAAUGAAAAACUUCUUUCGACUGUAGGAUAAAAUAACAUAGAAAAUAAAAAUAUGGCUCCUGGCUUUUCUCCCUCUUUGAAUUUCUUCUACCACAGUUAUUUUACAGAUUUGAGUUAACGUCCCCACCCCCAAAACAGUAAAUACCCAGCAGGGUAGGUUAUUAAUUAUAUUUAUGGUAAGAAUACGCUUUCCAGUCUGGGCUCUACCACCAUAUGAGGAGUCUGCCAGAAUUAUUAGUAUAAAAUCUUAAUAUAAGACUCACUUCCCUGUUCCAAGGCAUAAUUACUGUAGUAAGGGACCUUGAAAUGGCCACUCCAUUAGCUUUAAGUGGUGCUAAUUAGGAUUUAUCAUUUCCAUCCUAUGAAACACAGACGCAAAUGUGAACCCCAUAAAGUUUUGGCUCUUUCUAUAAGAAAAUACCAAUCUGAAGAUUAAAAAUAUGACUAAGUAGCCUUAAAGGGCAUGAUUUUCAUUCGAGAAAGGAAAUAAGCAGCCCCAAGUUGCUGCCAAUGGGAAGAACAACUGAGUUUAAAGCUCCAUUCCGCAAAUUAAAUUCUGGCUGCAUUUUAACAUCGAGCCUUUUUUUUUCCCUCCACAGUGCCAGAAAUACAUUCCAGAGCCAAUGUUCUCAAAGUGAAAACAUACAGUAUUUAGACAAGCAGUAAUUCGCUAGUAAUGUUUCCACAUAAUCAUUUCACACACGAUUGCUAAUCAUGCCAUGUGAGGGAAAGCUCUAAACUCGGGAACAUACACUGGCCGUAAAAUUAAAUGAUCAAAGUGAUAAAUCAAAGAGUGUGUUCUAAGAUCAAAGUGAUAAAGUGGUUCAGAGUAUUAAUAAAGUUCCUUUGGGAUACUUACAAAAGGGGAGAAAUUCAGAACAUAACCAAAUCUUAGAAAUAUAAACAAUUCCUUUCUCUUAUCUCUGAAAUGUUUAGCUAAAACUAUCUUUUUUUCCCCAAAGUAGUGAUAGAAUAUUCAGUUGUUUCUCAUUGAGUCACUUACCAUGAUAACUUCUAAGGACUAAAGGCCUUAAGAAAUUAUUUACUGGGGUCUAUUCCAAUAGUUUCCCCAUCAAACGACAUACUCCACCGUAACACACUCUCAAGCCACUAAAGGGUCAAAAGGGAGAGGUAUGGGCUACACCAGAGCUUCUGAGGGCGUCCUCUUGCUGAGAAGCAAGGCAUGGCAUUCUAGACAACUCCAUCUGCCUCCUCUUGCUCAAAUGGAGAGACACAGAAGGGGGUGACUGCAAGCAUCAGUGAGGGUUACAAGAAAAACACUGAGAGAAGGCAUCCCCCCACCCCACCCCCGCCCCUCCCUGUCUU
rnacentral:lncRNA from 1 species